rnacentral:rRNA from 1 species
AUUGAACGCUAGCGGGAUGCCUUACACAUGCAAGUCGAACGGAGUGGCGAACGGGCGAGUAAUGCAUCGGAACGUGCCCAGUAGCGGGGGAUAACUACGCGAAAGCGUAGCUAAUACCGCAUACUAUCGGAGCGGCCGAUAUCGGAUUAGCUAGUUGGUGGGGUAACUGCUCACCAAGGCGACGAUCCGUAGCUUGUUUGAGAGGACGACCAGCCACGCUGGGACUGAGACACGGCCCAUACUCAUACGGGAGGCAGCAGUGGGGAAUUUUGGACAAUGGGGGAAACCCUGAUCCAGCCAUCCCGCGUGUGCGAUGAAGGCCUUCGGGUUGUCAAGCACUUUUGGCAGGAAAGCGGUGCCUGCAGAGUAAGCACCGGCUAACUACGUGCCAGCAGCCGCGGUAAUAC